rnacentral:rRNA from 1 species
GACGAACGCUGGCGGCGUGCUUAACACAUGCAAGUCGAACGGAAAGGCCCUGCUUUUGUGGGGUGCUCGAGUGGCGAACGGGUGAGUAACACGUGAGUAACCUGCCCUUGACUUUUGGAUAACUUCAGGAAACUGGGGCUAAUACCGGAUAGGAGCUCCUGCUGCAUGGUGGGGGUUGGAAAGUUUCGGCGGUUGGGGAUGGACUCGCGGCUUAUCAGCUUGUUGGUGGGGUAGUGGCUUACCAAGGCUUUGACGGGUAGCCGGCCUGAGAGGGUGACCGGCCACAUUGGGACUUAGAUACGGCCCAGACUCCUACGGGAGGCAGCAGUGGGGAAUAGUGCACAAUGGGCGGAAGCCUGAUGCAGCAACGCCGCGUGCGGGAUGACGGCCUUCGGGUUGUAAACCGCUUUCGCCUGUGACGAAGCGUGAGUGACGGUAAUGGGUAAAGAAGCACCGGCUAACUACGUG